rnacentral:rRNA from 1 species
CAGUAGAGUGGGGCGGAAUUCGUGGUGUAGCGGUGAAAUGCUUAGAUAUCACGAAGAACUCUGAUUGCGAAGGCAGCUCACUGGACUGCAACUGACACUGAUGCUCGAAAGUGUGGGUAUCAAACAGGAUUAGAUACCCUGGUAGUCCACACAGUAAACGAUGAAUACUCGCUGUUUGCGAUAUACAGUAAGCGGCCAAGCGAAAGCAUUAAGUAUUCCACCUGGGGAGUACGCCGGCAACGGUGAAACUCAAAGGAAUUGACGGGGGCCCGCACAAGCGGAGGAACAUGUGGUUUAAUUCGAUGAUACGCGAGGAACCUUACCCGGGCUUAAAUUGCAUUUGAAUAAUCUGGAAACAGGUUAGUCGUAAGACAAAUGUGAAGGUGCUGCAUGGUUGUCGUCAGCUCGUGCCGUGAGGUGUCGGCUUAAGUGCCAUAACGAGCGCAACCCUUAUCUUUAGUUACUAACAGGUCAUGCUGAGGACUCUAGAGAGACUGCCGUCGUAAGAUGUGAGGAAGGUGGGGAUGACGUCAAAUCAGCACGGCCCUUACGUCCGGGGCUACACACGUGUUACAAUGGGGGGUACAGAAGGCAGCUACCUGGUGACAGGAUGCUAAUCCCAAAAGCCUCUCUCAGUUCGGAUCGAAGUCUGCAACCCGACUUCGUGAAGCUGGAUUCGCUAGUAAUCGCGCAUCAGCCAUGGCGCGGUGAAUACGUUCCCGGGCCUUGUACACACCGCCCGUCAAGCCAUGAAAGCCGGGGGUACCUGAAGUACGUAACCGAAAGGAGCGUCCUAGGGUAAAACUGGUAAUUGGGGCUA